CGUCAUAUAAUGAAUGUUUAUGAGUGCAAUGGUAAGAGUAUUUUCAUUCGGUGAAAGAUGUGAUAUUCCAAUCAACUCGGUUCGUUGAAUGGAACAUUCCAUCUUUCACCUCAUGAAAAUAUUCUUACCAUUGCACGAAUAAAUACAUUCAUUAUUUGUAUAAUA